rnacentral:misc_RNA from 1 species
GACUACACCAAAUUUAGUUUAGUAUUUCCCUCAUGAAAUACUGUUAAGAGAAUUAUUUCUUCAAUUAAUUUGGGAUGUUAUAUCAAAAUUAAAGGCUAAUGGUUAAAAAGUUUUCAAAUUUUUACUACCAUUAGAUAAUGUGAUUCAGACCAGUUUUCUUAUUGCCAAUUCAUCAUGAUUUUAUAGUCCAAAUUCAGUGAAAAUAUUUGUGUUUUCAGUUAUUGUAAUUGCCCCUGCAUAAUAUAUUCUUAACAUGUUUAAUUUCUUGUUUUCAGGUGCUUCUGGGGGACAUGGGAAC